rnacentral:RNase_P_RNA from 1 species
AGAGUCGGCUGGACAGUCGCUUCGCACCACACCCUGGCGUCAUGAUGCGAGCUUGUUCGUGGUGCCAGGGUGUGGUGGGGGGAGGAAAGUCCGGGCUCCACAGGGCAGAGUGCCAGGUAACGCCUGGGGGGUGAGAGCCCACGGAAAGUGCAACAGAAAGCAAACCGCCGAUGGCGUAUGGGUUUUCGGACACAUGCGACAGGCAAGGGUGAAAUGGUGCGGUAAGAGCGCACCGCACGGCUGGUAACAGACGUGGCGAUGGUAAACCCCACUCGGAGCAAGACCAAAUAGGAACCUUUUUGUGCGGCCCGCACAGGGUUCGGGUAGGUCGCUAGAGGCGUGCGGUGACGCGCGUCCCAGAUGAAUGACUGUCCACGACAGAACCCGGCUUACAGGCCGGCUCUGCAC